UGAGGAAUAUUGGUCAAUGGGGGCAACCCUGAACCAGCCAAGUCGCGUGAAGGAUGAAGGUCUUAUGGAUUGUAAACUUCUUUUAUACAGGAAUAAAUUGGGGGACGUGUCCCCUUUUGCAUGUACUGUAUGAAUAAGGAUCGGCUAACUCCGUGCCAGCAGCCGCGGUAAUACGGAGGAUCCGAGCGUUAUCCGGAUUUAUUGGGUUUAAAGGGUGCGCAGGCGGGAUGUUAAGUCGGCGGUGAACUUUUGCAGCUCAACUGUAAAAGUGCCUUCGAUACUGGCCUCCUUGAGUGUGGAUGAAGUAGGCGGAAUUUGUGGUGUAGCGGUGAAAUGCUUAGAUAUCACGAGGAACUCCGAUUGCGCAGGCAGCUUACUAAGCCACAACUGACGCUCAUGCACGAAGGCGUGGGGAUCAAACA
rnacentral:rRNA from 1 species